ACCUAGUGGCGGACGGGUGAGUAACGCGUGAGCAAUCUGCCUUACAGGGGGGGAUAGCACAGAGAAAUCUGUGCUAAUACCGCAUAACAUAUUGUAGUGGCAUCAUUAUAAUAUCAAAGAUUUAUUGCUGUAAGAUGAGCUCGCGUCUGAUUAGUUAGUUGGUGGGGUAACGGCCUACCAAGACGACGAUCAGUAGCCGGACUGAGAGGUUGAACGGCCACAUUGGGACUGAGACACGGCCCAGACUCCUACGGGAGGCAGCAGUUCGGGAAUAUUGCGCAAUGGGGGGAACCCUGACGCAGCAACGCCGCGUGAAGGAAGAAGGCCUUCGGGUUGUAAACUUUUUGUCUUUAGUGAAAAGGAAGGAUGGUAGCUAAGGAGGAAGCCACGGCUAACUACGUGCCAGCAGCCGCGGUAAUACGUAUGUGGCAAGCGUUAUCCGGAUUUACUGGUGGGUAAGGGUGCCGUGGGGCGGGACUUUAAUUCAGAUGUGAAAGAUAGGGGCUCAACCCCCUGAACUGCAUUUGAAACUGGAGUUCUUGAGUGUCGGAGAGGUAAGCGGAAUUCCUAGUGUAGCGGUGAAAUGCGUAGAUAUUAGGAGGAACACCGGUGGCGAAGGCGGCUUACUGGACGAUAACUGACGCUGAGGCGCGAAAGUGUGGGGAGCAAACAGGAUUAGAUACCCUGGUAGUCCACACCGUAAACGAUGGAUACUAGGUGUAGGAGGUAUCGACCCCUUCUGUGCCGCAGUUAACACAAUAAGUAUCCCACCUGGGGAGUACGACCGCAAGGUUGAAACUCAAAGGAAUUGACGGGGGCCCGCACAAGCGGAGGAACAUGUGGUUUAAUUCGAUGAUACGCGAGGAACCUUACCCGGGCUCGAACGGCAGAUGAAUAACUUAGAGAUAUGUUAGUCUUCGGACAUCUGUCGAGGUGCUGCAUGGUUGUCGUCAGCUCGUGCUGUGAAGUGUCGGCUUAAGUGCCAUAACGAGCGCAACCCUUGCCGUUAGUUGCCAUCAGGUAAAGCUGGGGACUCUAGCGGGACUGCCACCGCAAGGUGUGAGGAAGGGGGGGAUGACGUCAAAUCAGCACGGCCCUUACGUCCGGGGCGACACACGUGUUACAAUGGUGGGUACAGAGGGAAGCUACCUGGCGACAGGAUGCGGAUCUCGAAAACCCAUCCCAGUUCGGAUUGGAGUCUGCAACCCGACUCCAUGAAGUUGGAUUCGCUAGUAAUCGAGGAUCAGCAUGCCGCGGUGAAUACGUUCCCGGGC
rnacentral:rRNA from 1 species